AGAGGUUAUUGAAAAGAUAAAGGUCAACAAGUUCAACAGCAAAAUCUCUCAUUCAAGAGAAACUUCAUCUCAGAUUCCUAUGGAUCAAAAAGAUAUAAUCGUUGGACUAGAUGAAGAUUUACUAAAGAAUAAAAGAUCGACUCAUCGUGCAAUCAUCAAGCCUCGAAGUUGUCCCCAUUAUAGGGAUGGGUGGUAUUGGCAAGACCACACUGGCUAGAAGAGUUUAUGAUGAUUCCUUGAUUGCAUACCAUUUUUAUGUUCGAGCAUGGACAAAUGUAUCUCAAGAAUUUGACACUAGAGAAAUUUUUCUUGGUAUUCUUUGCUCCAUCAACGAUGAAGUAGAAAGAAACAGUACUACUGAGCAAUUGGCUGAAAGAGUUUAUCGAAGUUUAAAAGGGAGGAAGUAUCUCAUUAUCCUUGAUGAUAUGUGGUCUAUCGAUGCUUGGCAGCAUGUUAGGAGAUCAUUUCCGGAUGAUCAUAAUGGAAGUCGAAUCGUGUUGACCACGAGGCUUGUAGAUGUUGCAUCUUGUGCUAGUUCUGGCAAUUCCCUUCACCAGAUGCGUUUUCUGAGCAUGGAGGAAAGCUGGACUCUUUUACGCGAGAAGGUCUUUGGGAACGGUAGUUACCCUCCGGAAUUGGAGAAAAUUGGGAGAUACAUUGUCCAUCAGUGUCAAGGGUUGCCACUUGCAGUUGUUGCAACUGGUGGACUACUUUCCAAGAUGAGCAAGGAAACAAGUUCUUGGGAAAAUGUUGCAGAAAAGGUAGGAUCACUCAUGACAAGUGACACUAUGGAUUGCUUGAACAUACUCUCUUUGAGCUACAACCACUUGCCUCAAUACUUGAAAACAUGCUUCCUUUAUAUGGGAGUUUUGCUAGAAACUCGUGAGAUCCCGGUCUGGAAGUUAAUAAGGUUAUGGAUUGCUGAGGGGUUCGUCAAGAAAGUUCAACAUGAAAAUCUAGAAGAUGUGGCGGAGGAAAAAUUUGAGGGAGUUGGUUGAUAGAAGUUUGGUUUGGUGGGGAAGCAUACUUCCCUAGGAAAAAUCAAGACUUGUAAGAUGCAUGAUCUCGUUCGAGAUAUGUGUUUGAGAGAAGCCCAAUAUGAGAAUUUUAUACACUUCAAAACGAGGUAUUACCAAGAUGAUCUUCUAGAAAACAUUAAUUGUCUACGUCGUAUAGUUGAUUUCCAUAAGUAUACAGACAGUGGACUUUCUAAACUUAUGCCACUCACACGUUCUGUUUUCUUCAAAUAUCCAUACUUUUUUUGUUUCCUCUCACAGUCAAGCUUUAGAUUACUUAGGAUAUUAGAUGUUUGCUUUACUUCUUCUUUGUUCUGUGGUCAGUCCAUAUCAGAACUUGUUCAUUUGAGGUAUCUUGCUUGUCCGUCCUUCAAUGGUCUUAUGCAAUCACUAUGCAAGAUACGGAAUAUACAGAACUUAGUUAUUCAUGAUUUAUGUCCAUCUGGUUUAAGUAUGCGAACCCAGUUCCUACCAUGGGAAGUUGUGAAUAUGCCUCAACUAAGACAUAUCCAUACAAAAAAGUUUAGUCUUUUCAUACCCCCACCUACAUCACUAAUUGCUAAGAGGGAGAAUCAUUUACAAACGUUAACCGGAUUGAUGCCCUCAUCUUGUAAUGAAGAGGUGUUUCUAAGAAUUCCAAAUUUGAAGAAGUUGGGAAUAUUAAUUGUUGAUGAUUCAGACACUAUUCAGAAGUGUUAUUGUCUUGAUAAUCUUGUACAUUUAUCUCAGCUUGAGAAGCUCAAAGUUCAGUUCAGAGAGAGUUAUAUGCUAAUUUUCAGGUGGAUGAGCGAAGAUUGGAUGGACCUUUCUUCGCUACACAUUCCACAUUGUGACAAUUUCCCACCAAACCUUAAGAAGUUAACAUUGUGCAGAACACACAUACAAUGGGAAGACAUGAACAUUCUUAGAAAAUUACCUAAUCUUGAGGUGCUCAAACUUAAACAUCAUGCCUUUCUCGGACUAAUUUGGAAACUAAGCGAUGAAGAUGAAGAUGGAUUCUUGAAGCUAAAGUUUUUACUUCUUGAGAACAUGAAUCUGAUGCAAUGGGAAGCAACAAGUUAUCAUUUCCCAAACCUUGAGCACUUGGUUCUAACAGAUUGCUAUUUGUUGGAGCAAAUGCCUUUUGACUUUGCAGAGAUUCAGACACUACAGCUGAUUGAACUACACAAAUGUAAGUGUUCUGUUCUUGUUUCAGCAGAGCAAAUACAAGAGGAGCAACAAAGCUUGGGAAAUGAUGACCUCGUUAUUCAUGUGAACUAUAUACGUGAGUAAACAUUAAUCAAAAAAGGUAUACAUUUCUUAAAAGCAUAAAGAUUUUACUUGCUUCUUUUGUUUACAAUAAUGUUUUAUCAUUUUGAAUAUGUUGACUUUUAGUCAAUUUUAUUUUUUCUUUAGUUCAAAACAAUAUAAUAAAAGAGUUUAUGAUGAUUCCUUGAUUGCAUACCAUUUUUAUGUUCGAGCAUGGACAAAUGUAUCUCAAGAAUUUGACACUAGAGAAAUUUUUCUUGGUAUUCUUCGCUCCAUUGGCGUGGUCAACGAUGAAGUAGAAAGAAACAGUACUAAUGAGCAAUUGGCUGAAAGAGUUUAUCGAAGUUUAAAAGGGAGGAAGUAUCUCAUUAUCCUAGAUGAUAUGUGGUCCAUCGAGGCUUGGAAGCAUGUGAGGAGACUAUUUCCGGAUGAUCAUAAUGGAAGUCGAAUCGUGUUAACCACGAGGCUUGUAGAUGUUGCAUCUUGUGCUUGCUCUGGCAAUUCCCUUCACCAGAUGCGCUUUCUGAGUGUGGCGGAAAGCUGGACUGUAACAUCCGGCAAUUUGAAAUAACUAUGAAGAAGCUUGGAAUUGGAAAUAGUCAUUUUUGGAAAGACUUUUAAAAAAAUCUGGAAAAUUUGGUUGUUAAGUAUGGGUAAAAGGUGAGUUUUUGGCCAACUUUGAACAGUCAUAACGUCUAGCUCAAGAUGAGUUAGGUGUAGUUCCAGUUAUGUUUACAAAGCUCGUGGAAUGAUCUUUCCAACGCCAUCGAGUUUUCUCGAUUCUGAGUUCGUAUGAGUGAGUUAUGCCCUUUGGAAAUUGGGCAGUUGGCAGGGAAGUCCGUCCGGAAAUUUUAAGGGUAUUUUGGUCUUUUCCCUAACCAAUUCUUUUGGAUAUAUUAAGGUGUUAGACUGAUUUUAGAUCAGUUUUUCCCUUUUUGAAAGAGUGAGAGUGAGGGUUUGUGAGUAAAGAGGAAAAGAAGGGGAGAAAGAGAAGAUCAAGCAAGGUUUCGUCAAAGAUCGUCGUGGAUAUUGUCGGGGGUGAUCCCUACUAGGUAUGUGAGAUCAUAGUGUUUGGUUGGUUCAUUCCCCCACACGCCAAAUUCGUUUUAAUAUCCGAGAAAAGAUUUGGUUGUGUUUAUUGAAGUCUUGUGGUUGUGGUUGGUGAGGUUGUGGUUGUGUUAUUGAAGUUCUUGUGGAUUUGAGACAUGUUUUAGGUUGUGUUUUCGAGUUGAAUCUAUUGUGUAUUAAGGGGUUUUAAUGAUCCCAAGUGUUUGGGGAAGGAACCUUUGAAGUUAAGAGGGUUUAGAGUUGGUAACAUGAAGGAGAAAAGUCGGGCAGCUUGCAUGAAACAAGUCUGCGUCGCAGACUUGUUCCCUCUGUGAACAAAUCUGCUCCGCGUCGCGGACAGGACGCGGACUUCACUGUUUCAAAAAUUUAAUUUCGUAAUUUUUCUUAAGUUUAGCUGUCCUAAAUCAUUCCUAAACAUCAUGAGGUCUUUCCAAACACAAAUCAUGAAUCCUUGAAUCCAUAAUUCAAUUCAAGAAAGUUAGGAUCAAAGUCAAGUGAAGUUAAGAGUCAAGUCUAAAAGUUAAGAAGCAAGUCUUUAAAGCUUUUCAAGAGUCUUUAUUAAACGUUUUAACUUCGUUUUAAGGCUCAAGUUUCAAGUUAAGUAAAGUGUAUAGAGUUUCAAGUUAAGUAAAGAGUAUAGAGUGUCAAGUCAAGUAAAGAGUAAGAACAAUGUAGCCAAACAUGGGACUUAACGGGUUAUUCUUUUUAGAUGAUCACGUAAGAUUAAGCUAGUGGAUUCACUAAGUAAAGUAAGGUCCUAUAUCACGGAAAAGUAUAGGAUGGUCCUUGGGCAACGUGAGGUAAAACGUUGUAUCAUCACUAGGGCUCAUAGUGGUGGUUGUCGGUUAAAGAAUCUCCCACAAAAGUUAUAUUAACUUUUAUAUAAGUAAAGUUGAGUUGUUAUUGCUUUAUCCUUAACGAACUAAGUUGUUUACACUGUUUUGCAAGCUUUAUAUAUAUUGCGUGUGUCUUAUUGCUUUAUAUUGAGUUCGGUUAUUCAUGAGUUGAAUAGAGCCAAGGUAAGUGUUCUCUUGUACUCCUUUCAAGCUUAAGUUGUUGUUUAGCUUUCCAGCUCGCAUACUCGUACAUUAAAUGUACUGAUGCCAGUUGACAUGUAUCUUAUUAUGAUGCAGACACAGGUACCCAGGAUCAGCAUUCGGCACACCGUUGAUCCAGCCGAGCACUUCCGAGUCAGUGGUGAGCCUCUUUGCAUUCCGGAGUACUCAGUUAUUUUGUUCUCUUAGUUUGUUUUAUUAGGAUGUUCCGGGGUCUGUCCCAACAUCCAUCUCAGUGUUAUAGAGGCUUCAUAGACAGUCAGUCAGUUAGUAUUGAGUCUCUCAUCUAUGUAUAUAUGUAAAUAUUCUAUUUUGAGACUCGAGUUGCCUUUUUGGGCCAGAUUUUAUCAGUUAAGUUGUUUUAUGUCCUUGCAUUGCAUGGAGUUAUUCUGUUGAGUUAGGUUUCCGCUGAGUUAAGAAAGUCAGGCCAAAGGUUCGCUUGGGGCCAACAAUGGUCUUCGAGUGCCAGCCAUGUCCAGGGUAUAGGCUCGGGGCAUGGCAAUCUUUUACGCGAUAAGGUCUUUGGGAACGGUAGGUACCCUCCGGAAUUGGAGAAAAUUGGGAGGUACAUUGGCCACCAGUGUCAAGGGUUGCCACUUGCAAUUGUUGCAAUUGGUGGACUACUUUCCAAGAUGAGCAAGGAAACAAGUUCUUGGGAGAACGUUGCAGAAAAGGUAGGAUCACUUAUGACCAGUGACACUAUGGAUUGCUUGAACAUACUUUCUUUGAGCUACAACCACUUGCCUCAGUACUUGAAAACAAACAUGCUUCCUUUAUAUGGGAGUUUUUGCAGAAACUCAUGAGAUUCCGGUCUGGAAGUUAAUAAAGUUAUGGAUUGCUGAGGGAUUCGUCAAGAAAGUUUAUCAUAAAAAUCUUGAAGAUGUGGCAGAGGAAAAUUUGAGGGAGUUAGUUGAUAGAAGUUUGGUUUUGGUGGGGAAGCAUAGCUCCCUAGGUUUUAUCAAGACUUGUAAAAUGCAUGAUCUCGUUCGAGAUAUGUGUUUGAGAGAAGCCCAAUAUGAGAAUUUUAUUCACUUCAAAACAAGGUAUGACAACGAUGAUCUUCUAGAAAACUUUAAUUGUCUACGUCGUGUAGUUGAUUUCAAUAAAUAUGGAUACAGUGAAAUUCCUAAACUUAUGCCACUCACACGUUCUGUUUUCUUCAAAUAUCCACACUUUUUUUGUUUCCUCUCACAGUCAAGCUUUAGAUUACUUAGGAUAUUAGAUGUUUGCUUUACAUCUUUUUUGUACUGUAGUCAAUCCAUAUCAGAACUUGUUCAUUUGAAGUAUCUUGCUUGUCCGUCCUUUGAUGGUCUUGUGCAAUCAGUAUGUAAGCUACGGAAUAUACAGAACUUAGUUAUUCAUGAUUUAAAUUUAUCUGGUUUACAUAUGAGAACCCAGUCCCUACCAUGGGAAGUUGUGAAUAUGCCUCAACUAAGACAUAUCCAUACAAAAAAGUUCAGUCUUUUCAUACCCCCACCUACAUCACUAAUUGCUGAGAGGGAGAAUCACUUGCAAACGUUAACCGGAUUGGAGCCCUCAUCUUGUAACGAUGAGGUGUUUCUAAGAAUUCCAAAUUUGAAGAAGUUGGGAAUAUUAAUUGUUGAUUCAGACACUAUUAGGAAGUGUUAUUGUCUUGAUAAUCUUGUACAUUUAACUCAGCUUGAGAAGCUCAAAGUUGAGUUCAGCGAGAGUUAUCUGCUAAUUUUUAGGCGGAUUAGCGAAGGUUGGGUGGACCUUUCUUGGCUACACAUUCCACAUUGUGACAAUUUCCCACCAAACCUUAAGAAGUUAACAUUGUGCGGAACUUACCUACAAUGGGAAGACAUGAACAUUCUCAAAAAAUUACCUAAUCUUGAGGUGCUCAAACUUAAACAUCAUGCCUUUCACGGACUAAUUUGGAAACUAAGCGAUGAAGAUGAAGAUGGAUUCUUUCAGUUAAAGUUUUUACUUCUUGAGAGCUUGCAUCUGAAGCAAUGGGAAGCAACAAGUUAUCAUUUUCCAAGCCUUGAGCACUUAGUCCUAACAGAUUGCUAUUCAUUGGAGCAAAUUCCUUUCGACUUUGCAGAGAUUCAAACACUACAGCUGAUUGAACUACACAAAUGCAUGCUUUCUGUUCUUGAUUUAGCAGAGCAAAUACAAGAGGAGCAACAAAGUUUGGGAAAUGAUGACCUUGUUAUUCGUGUGAACUAUAUACGUGAGUAACAUUAAUAAAAAAGGUAUACAUUUUUUAAAAGCAUAAAGAUUUUUUUUCCUGAAUUUUUCUUACAUAGCUCUUAUCUUGGAUAACUUUUUCUAUCUUAUAAAAGUUAGUGUGCAGUACAAAAUAUUAAUUUGAUUAGCUAGAUUCUUUCGAAAUCUGAAAUUGAUUCUUAUAUUCAUCAUUUUUAUUUAUUUAUACUAUAAAAGGUGCUAAUUACAAUAGGUUUUGUGCAUUGCAGACAAAAAACUUAGUUGAUGGAGAGUGCCAUAAGAUAUACUCAAGCAUAAAUAAGUUGAUCACUCUUUGCAGUAGUUGAUCUUACCUUUCAGUGUAUUUCGAUUUCCUUUUUCCAGUUCAACUUGUUUGGGACUGAGGCUUAGUUUAGUGAAUUGUAUAUCUAGAUAUAAUUCAAAUAUAAUGCAUUUACUUUGGAAUGUGUAUGUAUUUGAACGUACUUCUCUUAGUUGCUUGUACCACCAUGUUGAAUCAAUAUAUUUAUUUGCAGGCAUUGUCCAAAAACAGGCACCUUGUUAUUAUAGUUAAAGUUAGCAAGCAUUUUCCUUCCAAGGAUCAAGUUCAAUUAUUCUGAGCAUGUUCAAUGGAUAACAGGGAUGGAAUAGAGGUUGAAUGGUAGGAGACAGUAUGCUUAGAGAGAAAGAAGGGUGUGAACUUUUUGUACGUCAUUUGCCUACUUUUUUUGAAACAUUCCCAGUCGUUUUGGUAGAUGAUGAUUGAAUUGUUAGACCCGAUGUUCCUUUUAUUAGGUGAGAAUCAGAGUUUAGUGUUGAACACGUAGGUGUAAUCAUUGAGUUCUACUGCUGUGAAGUGGGUGAAAUUUUCGAAUUAUAUCGUGCUACUUUGAAAACCUAUGGUGUUUCUUCAUAGCAGUCAAAAGGGUUGAUUUACUUUUGGCCUUUGGGCAUGCUUCGUUUGCUUUGCUCUUCUUCUUCAGACACAUUUGGCAUGACACUAGAACCUUGUUUGUGUUUUUUCUUAGGGUUGAUUUAUCAGAUAAUCACUCCAUUAAUAGUUAUUAUCUCAAAAAGUCACAAUUCUUCUUUUUUCCAAAUUUUUUUCUACAAAGAAAGUGACUUUCUGAGAUAAUAACUAUUAAUCGAGUGACCAUAUGAGAAAUCAACUCGUUUUUCUUUUAAGAAAUAUUCUUGUUGGUUCACUCAAUGAUGCCUUUUUAUCUUUUAUCAUCUUGCUAAUGGGACAUUGGACAAGUCUUUAAUUUAGACAAUCUUGUAGUUAGUUGCUAUGAAGUUUCAAAUUCCAUAGCAGAAACUCCAGUAUAUUGUCAUGGAGUAAAACUUGUAAAAACAACAACAUACCUAGUGUAGUAUCAUAAGUGAAGUCUAGGGAGGAUAAGAUGUACACAGACCAUAUCCCUACCUUUGUAGUGUAGAGACGGAGUUUGUUUCCGAUAGGCCCUCGACUCAACAAUAAAGAAAAGAACUUGAAGCAUGGUAGCAAGAAAAUAUGACAGAAAAAAAAGUAAGAUACAGAUCAAAUGAAGCAACAAAUAGUAAUACACAUCGAAGAAAAAGAAACAAAGUGCAACAAUACUUGGCUACCUACUAACCUUCUAAUCUAAUCCUCAACUUUCACUCCUUCCUAUCUAGGGUCAUAUCCGAAAUAAAACUUGUAGAUUUUGAAAUUACAUGACUAUAGUUAUUUUUCGAAGAUAUGUCCGAAAAGCGGCUCUCUAGUAUGAAUGUAGUUUGGGCAAGUUGUAUGACUUUGGGUGUCUGACAAACUAUUCCAACUUGCUUUUUGGUACAAGUCUUAAAUACAAUUUGAGUCUCAAUCUGACAAAUAAUUCAAUGAGCAAAACAAGAAUUCUCACUUCUACCUUCCACCAACCCCACCAUUACUCUCUUGGAGAGAAACAGACACAAAGAGAAGACUUCUCUUUACAAAGCCUUAAAAGUCUUGCAUUCCCAUCCAUUACAUUGCCUUCUUCUUUCAUAAAGAAUUGGUUUUGAGAAUCUAAAUCAACAACUCAGAACUUCCUCCUACUGUCCUGUUUAGCAAGAAACUAACAAACAGCGAUAUGGCGGCGUAUGCUGCUGUGAAUUCACUUUUGCAUACGCUGGAUAAUCUAUCUCAAACUCAUACAUCACAUUCUCUUCUUUACAAAAAAAAGCAAACUGAAGUCCUCAGUGACAAGUACACCUUCCUUAAAACCUUUCUUGAGGAUUUUACUAAUAUUUUCCAUGAAGAUGUAAAGAUGAAGCAUCUCGAAAGGAUAAUCCAAGAAGCUGCUAAUGGAGUGGAAGAUACUAUUGACUCACAUGUAUAUGAUAGCUCUGCCUUAGUACAAAGCAAGCGAGUACGAAGAAAGGCUUAUACGAUCUUUCAUCAAAACUUGGAAUAUGCAAUUGAGGAAAUUGGUUUGAUACAAAAAGAGGUUAUGAAAAAGAUAAAGGUCAACAAGUUCAACAGCAAAAUCUCUCAUUCAAGAGAUACUUCAUCUCAGAUCCCUAUGGAUCAAAAAGAUGUAAUCAUUGGACUGGAUGAAGACUUGCUAAAGAUAAAAGAUCGACUCAUCGUGCAAUCAUCAAGACUCGAAGUUGUCCCCAUUAUAGGGAUGGGUGGUAUUGGCAAGACCACACUGGCUAGAAGAGUUUAUGAUGAUUCCUUGAUUGCAUACCAUUUUUAUGUNNNNNNNNNNNNNNNNNNNNNNNNNNNNNNNNNNNNNNNNNNNNNNNNNNNNNNNNNNNNNNNNNNNNNNNNNNNNNNNNNNNNNNNNNNNNNNNNNNNNNNNNNNNNNNNNNNNNNNNNNNNNNNNNNNNNNNNNNNNNNNNNNNNNNNNNNNNNNNNNNNNNNNNNNNNNAAAGAAACAGUACUACUGAGCAAUUGGCUGAAAGAGUUUAUCGAAAUUUAAAAGGGAGGAAGUAUCUUAUUGUCCUAGAUGAUAUGUGGUCUAUCAAGGCUUGGCAGCAUGUGAG
rnacentral:lncRNA from 1 species